AGUGGAAUUGCUAGAUUAUAUGGAAAUUCUAUGUUUAGCAUUUUGAGGAACUGCCAAACUGCUUUCUAUAAUGGCUAUACCAUUUUACAUUUCUACCAAGAAU
rnacentral:pre_miRNA from 1 species